CAUGUCCUUUUGAUGUUAAUUUAAGGUCUAAUCUGCUCAAUGAAAUAAUUAAAUAGCUGCAGUAUAUUGACUGUACAAAGGUAGCAUAAUAAUUUGCUUUUUUAUUGAAAGCUGGUAUGAAUGAUUGGACGAGAAAGUUUCUGUCUCAUUUUUAUAUAAUUGAAUUUUACUUUUAAGUUCAAAGGCUUAAAUUUUACUUUUAGACGAUAAGACCCUAUAGAGCUUUACUCAAUAUACUUAUAAUAAUUUUUAGUAUUAUAAUAAUAUUAUAUUUUACCUGAGUUUAAUUGGGGUGAUUUAAAAAUUUAAUAAACUUUUUAUUUAGACAAUUAUUUAUAAAUAAUUAAAAGAUCUGAUUUUAUCAAGAUAAAAUUAAGUUACCUUAGGGAUAACAGCGUAAUUUAGUCUUUAAGUUCAUAUUGAAUACUAAGUUUGCGACCUCGAUGUUGGAUUAAAAUUUA
rnacentral:rRNA from 1 species